UGCCGGUGAUGCAUCAAAAUUGUCCGUACCAUCUGAGAUACUUCUCUAUGAUGUUACCAAAACUUAUACAGAUUCUGAGGCGU
rnacentral:snoRNA from 1 species